AGUUUUUUCUGCUCUCUCUUCUUUCCAGCUACUUUGUUCUUGAAAUUCCCCAUUUCUCUGUCCCACCCACAUGUUGAUAUGAGCUGCUCUCUGGUCAUCGCCCAGGCUCAAGUGUUCAGGGAGGGGUCCCUCAGAGUAUUCCUUGGCUCUGAUUUACUCCUAGCAACACAUAAACUUUAAGAUUCUCUCUGUCUUAAUCAAUCCGGCUUUAAAGAGGUAAUGCAUUUAUUCAGCAGAAACAGCAGAAGACAAUGUUAAGAAAACAUCAAGGAAAAAUGCUGAUUUUACAAGAGGAGAAAAAGGAUGUUGGGGAUUCUUUGUGCUGAGCCGCUGUGCGUCACAUUAACUACUCCACUGCACCCUACAGGACAUGUUCUUUUGAAGAUAAACAAUGCAUUACAACUUACAUUAUGUAGCCCCGUGCUGCUUCAUGCAUAGUAUAUCAACCUCCCACUCAAACAGUGGGAAACACAUUAACACUUUCUCCAACCGCCCAUUGCCUCAGGGCAGGUGCACUGCUCGCGGCAGGGAUACAUCAUCACUGCUGCAGUUGAAUAACUUUUGCCCGGAGAUAAAACAGAGCUGCUGUUUUUUUUUUUUUUUCUCUCUGCUGCUAAAUGUAAAGCAGAAUUUGUCACUUUCUGCUCCUCAAUCCCAAAGGAGAUGGCAGUAGUUUCAGCACCACAAGUAAAACUACGGUUUGUUUUUUUGCUCACCCCACCUGGCUGUCAAAGAUCUGUGUUGGAUAAACUUAAAUCUUGGAGCUCGACUAAAAUUCUGAUCAUCAGAUUUCAGGUUGUCACCUUUACGACCCAGUCGUGACGGUUUGUGUCUUUAACUGGAGCGUAUCAGCAGUUUGUGAACUUUUCACACUGUUGCUCUCAGACAACAGCAAUCUGCUGCCUACUCGUCGUCGUCUAGAUUCAGAGUGGCAGCACAGGCAUUGUUCCUGUUUGCGGAGAGACACAGGCAGCUAGCUGGGUGUUUUGAUUCUCUCAAUGACCUUUCCUGUUAUUGUCUAUGUGAAGGACAAGGGUCCAGUUUGCAUUCGUUCUGAUAUUUUAUGGUGCAAAACCCAAGAACAUUUACUGUUCAGGAAUUUGUUACAGCAGCCUCAUACAGGCACCAGAUCGAGAAUCAUGGGUGGUUCAGCUGUAACAGGGGUGCAACUUCGACUGCAAACUGUCAGUGCUCGACAGAAAGUAUAAUAUAAGAUAAUACAAAAGUUUAUCUUUUAUAUUACAAUAUAAUAGAAGAUAAACCUUUCAAAAUGUUCAUUGAGAAUGCUUCCAUGGCCAGUUUCUGAAAAACCAUAAUUAGACCAUAAUUAGACUGUAUAUGGACCAGAAUCAUGGGAUAAAUCCUUCUGUAAACUAAGAUAGGUGGAACCAAAUGCUUUGUAGCAUGAGUCUCAGGUAGACUGAGAGUUUUCAUGGAAGUGUGGUCAGCAUGUCUGACUUACUAGCUAGCAACCUACAACAAUAUCCUUUUCAUGUUAGGAAAUUAAAAGUGUGUUAUCGCACAGAUUUGAAUAAAGUAGGCGCUAAUAUUUCCCUCAUCUACACAUGAACCUUUGUCCUCAUCUUUAGUGUUUAGGCUAACAUUUAUCACAUGACUCUGGUCCAUAUACAGUCUAUCAGGGUCUAAUUAUGGUUUCAGACACUGGCCAUUGGAGCAUUCUCACUGAACGUUUGAAAGGUUUAUCUUUUAUAUUAUAUUAUAAUGUCCUUUAACUGUGGGAAUAUGCUCUCUAUGGGGCAACAUCACAUUAGUCUCAGUAAAGUCCAUAAAAAAACUUCAGACAAUCACGUGAAUCAGGUUUUAUCUAACUUGUCUUGUGAUAAUACCAGCUCUCAUUUCUAUUAUUUCAUGAGUUAAAAGGUCUUUUAAUUCCUUUUUAUCUUGAUUUCCUCAAACAGAUUUCACCCCUUUAGACUUGACAGCUGUUCUCAGCAGACAAUCACACACCUGUGUUGGCAAAACUUUGGGACCAUCAUCAGGAUGGGCACAAAAAACAUUCAAUGUUUUAAGGUCACACUCUGUCAGCACAUAGAUUCACAAAAAAAAAAAAAAAAAAGAUGAAAAUAUUUGCUAUGAAGGCAUUUUUGUCACAUAUACACUCUGAAACUGGCCACGACCAGUUCAAGAUGAAGCCGGGCCAUGUGACAGAAAAUGUGAUGGAUUGUAGCCAAGGACAGAAACCGGCAUACAAGUCACAGUGUCACUUUUUUUCCAAGGCAACUGCUCUGAAUCAUUUGUGUUUAAAGCUCCAACGUUCAUCCGUAGUGUUGACACUUAUUUAUGUGUGUGUGUGUGUGUGUGUGUGUGUCAGGGAGCUGCUGAAAAGUCAAAAGAAGCCUGAGGACAUGAGGGGCUGGCAGUUAACGCCAGAAAAGAGGCAGAACCCUCCUAAGAAGAAAAUAUGAAUUUUGUCAGCUGUAAAGCCACAGUCAGGCAAAAAAUAGGCAAUUUUCAGGUGGGAUAUUUCUAGAAAACUGCAUAUUAAAGUAGAUUUAACUGUAUUUUAAAUACUGAUGGAUAACACUGGACUCUUUUUCUCUUUCUAAGACAGGCUUGAAUAUUCAAAAAACAUCAAUAAAUAGCCCCAAGAUAUUUUGUUCAUUUAGAUUUGGUAAAGGCAGCAGAUGAGUAAACAAAACAACUUGUAAGGCUUUAGUAAAACCCCUGCUCAGAGCCUCAGAUUUUUCAAGUCUUGACUCAUUUGGAGGGAAAUAUGAAAUAGAGGUCAGAGGAAACCAAAGCUACUGAGUCUGGCUUCUUGCCUGAUCCCAGAGUGGAAUAAAAACAUUUUAGAACAAACAGAAAACUGUGAACAGGCUGGUACAGCUGGGAAGAAAACACUUGCCAAAUGAUGUAUUAUGGAUGAAAAAUACAACAGUGCUGCAAGACUGUGAUUAAGCUCUGCAUGAAUAAAUCUAACGCAAACUUUACUGAAUAGUUAUACACACGCUCUGCCUUUCAUUUUUACAUUAACUUGCAAGUUUCAAUGUUUGGCCCUGAAUGUAUUUCUCUUAUACAACCUGAAGUCAACAUUGCAAUAGCUGUGUCACAUUAGCCAAAUAUUUUAAUUUCUAUGUAGGAAAAAGCCAUGGCUAAAAGGUAACGGUUGUCCAAGUUCAUUUAUCAGCUUCAAGGACAUCAGUUGGAGUGUAUUGCUAGAAUCAGGAGGAAUGCUAAGUCACAUGGGAGAAAGGCUCAGGAUUCCUGAUUCAAUCAAUUAUCUUUCCAUUAUACGCUCUCAGCAUGCACAGAUAAAUACUUCUCUCCUUAGAUCAGACCAGUCACGCCCAAAAGACAAAGAUCUAUAAUUGCAAAACUAAUAACAAGUCGAAAGACACAGACGGGUUUAGACAGACCUGUUAAAAACAUACGCCAUGGCAAUAUCUAAAUACAAAUAUACAAUAAUUAGCAUUUCCCUUUUUCAGAGGCCAAAUCUGCCAUUUUAAACAAGUUUAUUCCAACUCAGUGGAAAGUCUUAAAAACUGAGGAAGAAUCUCAUAUUAAACAUGAACUCACUUUCUUAUGAUUCAAUGUCUGCAUGGAAUAGCAGCUCAAUAGGUACUAAUAGUUUCAGGGUUCGAGGUUCAUGUUUAGUAUUAUUGUGCCACUGGUCUGUCUCAUUUUUGAGUCUUGUACCCCUGCCAAGCCAGGAGGGAAUUCUGAUAUAUCUUUAUUUAUUUUAUUUUGUAUUUUAUUCAUGGUGACAAUGCCAACUGCAAUCAAUCCUUCAUUUUCUUGUAUUGCGUCCCGUUGAACUGAGGCUCACCCAUGCAUCUUUUUUUUGUUUUAGGGUAAUAUAGUUUUU
rnacentral:lncRNA from 1 species